rnacentral:rRNA from 1 species
UGGGGAAUUUUGGACAAUGGGCGAAAGCCUGAUCCAGCAAUGCCGCGUGUGUGAAGAAGGCCUUCGGGUUGUAAAGCACUUUUGUCCGGAAAGAAAUGGCUCUGGUUAAUACCUGGGGUCGAUGACGGUACCGGAAGAAUAAGGACCGGCUAACUACGUGCCAGCAGCCGCGGUAAUACGUAGGGUCCAAGCGUUAAUCGGAAUUACUGGGCGUAAAGCGUGCGCAGGCGGUUGUGCAAGACCGAUGUGAAAUCCCCGAGCUUAACUUGGGAAUUGCAUUGGUGACUGCACGGCUAGAGUGUGUCAGAGGGGGGUAGAAUUCCACGUGUAGCAGUGAAAUGCGUAGAGAUGUGGAGGAAUACCGAUGGCGAAGGCAGCCCCCUGGGAUAACACUGACGCUCAUGCACGAAAGCGUGGGGAGCAAACAGGAUUAGAUACCCUGGUAGUCCACGCCCUAAACGAUGUCAACUAGUUGUUGGGGAUUCAUUUCCUUAGUAACGUAGCUAACGC